GCGGGUGUAGCUCAGUGGUAGAGUGUCUCCUUGCCAAGGAGAAGGUCGCGGGUUCAAAUCCCGUCGCCCGCUCCA
rnacentral:tRNA from 1 species